CAGUUGUGGUAUUUUGUAGCAAUGACCUUCAUCACCUUAAUCCUGACAAUGCUCCUCUGUCUACAUGGAUCCAGAGGUCAGUACACUCUGACUCAGACUCCAGCGGUGAAAGCUGCAUCUGUGGGGGACACGGCCAUUCUGACCUGCAAAGUCAGCAGUGCUGUGUACAGGAAUAGUAAUGGACACUACCUUCACUGGUAUCAACAGAAGCCCGGAGGAGCUCCUAAACUCUUAAUUAAAUUGGCAAACCAACCACAUUCUGGAACUCCAUCUAGAUUUCAAGGGAGUGGAUCAAGCACAGACUUCACUCUGACCAUCAGUGGAGUCCAGACUGAAGAUGCAGGAGAUUACUACUGUCAGAGUUUCCAUGUCCCAAGCGGUUAUGUGUUCACACAGUGAUACAGAGCCGUACAAAAACCUCCCUCUGUGAGAGUACACAUGACUGCACUGCUGCAGCAGAGACUUUCAGCAGGUGUGUGAGGGGGGGUGCAUUAGAGUUGUAUA